GGGGUCUUAGCUCAGGGGUAGAGCGCGCGCUUCGCACCGUUGUUCGAUGUGCGUGAGGUCGUGGGUUCAAUUCCCACAGUCUCCA